rnacentral:rRNA from 1 species
AACGAACGCUGGCGGCAGGCCUAACACAUGCAAGUCGAACGCUGUAGCAAUACAGAGUGGCAGACGGGUGAGUAACGCGUGGGAACAUGCCCUCCGGUUCGGAUUAACUCAGGGAAACUUGAGCUAAUACCGGAUACGCCCUUAGGGGGAAAGAUUUAUUGCCGAAGGAUUGGCCCGCGUCCGAUUAGCUAGUUGGUGAGGUAAUGGCUCACCAAGGCGACGAUCGGUAGCUGGUCUGAGAGGAUGAUCAGCCACACUGGGACUGAGACACGGCCCAGACUCCUACGGGAGGCAGCAGUGGGGAAUAUUGGACAAUGGGCGCAAGCCUGAUCCAGCCAUGCCGCGUGAGUGAUGAAGGCCCUAGGGUUGUAAAGCUCUUUCGCCAGGGACGAUAAUGACGGUACCUGGAUAAGAAGCCCCGGCUAACUUCGUGCCAGCCGCCGCCGUAACAC